rnacentral:rRNA from 1 species
CGACGAACUCUGGUAUUGAUUGGUGCUUGCAUCAUGAUUUACAUUUGAGUGAGUGGCGAACUGGUGAGUAACACGUGGGAAACCUGCCCAGAAGCGGGGGAUAACACCUGGAAACAGAUGCUAAUACCGCAUAACAACUUGGACCGCAUGGUCCGAGUUUGAAAGAUGGCUUCGGCUAUCACUUUUGGAUGGUCCCGCGGCGUAUUAGCUAGAUGGUGGGGUAACGGCUCACCAUGGCAAUGAUACGUAGCCGACCUGAGAGGGUAAUCGGCCACAUUGGGACUGAGACACGGCCCAAACUCCUACGGGAGGCAGCAGUAGGGAAUCUUCCACAAUGGACGAAAGUCUGAUGGAGCAACGCCGCGUGAGUGAAGAAGGGUUUCGGCUCGUAAAACUCUGUUGUUAAAGAAGAACAUAUCUGAGAGUAACUGUUCAGGUAUUGACGGUAUUUAACCAGAAAGCCACGGCUAACUACGUGCCAGCAGCCGCGGUAAUACGUAGGUGGCAAGCGUUGUCCGGAUUUAUUGGGCGUAAAGCGAGCGCAGGCGGUUUUUUAAGUCUGAUGUGAAAGCCUUCGGCUCAACCGAAGAAGUGCAUCGGAAACUGGGAAACUUGAGUGCAGAAGAGGACAGUGGAACUCCAUGUGUAGCGGUGAAAUGCGUAGAUAUAUGGAAGAACACCAGUGGCGAAGGCGGCUGUCUGGUCUGUAACUGA